rnacentral:rRNA from 1 species
GGCCUUCGGGUUGUAAACUGCUUUUUUCAGGGACGAAUUCUGACGGUACCUGAAGAAUAAGGGGUUCCUAACUCUGUGCCAGCAGGAGCGGUAAUACAGAGACCCCAAGCGUUAUCCGAAUUUACUGGGCGUAAAGCGUCCGUAGGUGGUUUUGUGCGUUAUCUGUCAAAUUCCAGGGCUUAACCCAGGAACUGCGGGUAAUACGGCAAGACUUGAGGCUGGGAGAGGCAAGCGGAACUGUCGGUGUAGUCGUAAUAAGCGCUGAUAUCGGCAGGAACACCAAAGGCGAAGGCAGCUUGCUGGAACAGUCCUGACACUCAGGGACGAAAGCGUGGGUAGCGAAUGAGAUUAGAUACCUCAGUAGUCCACGCCCUAAACGAUGCACACUAGGUAUCGGGAGUAUCGACCCUCUCGGUGCCGUUUAAAAGAGCUAACGCGUUAAGUGUGCCGCCUGGGGAGUACGAUCGCAAGAUUAAAACUCAAAGGAAUAGACGGGGGAUCGCACAAGCGGUGGAGCACGCGGUUCAAUUCGAUAACGAGCGGAGAACCUUACCGGGGCUCAAAUACUAGCUGCACAUCCUAUGAAAGUAGGACUUCUUCGAGAGUGCUAGAUAGGUGUUGCAUGGUUGCCGUCAGCUCGUGCAGUGAUGUGUACCCUUAAGUGGGGUAACGAGCGCAACCCUCGUGUUGUGUUAAAUCUACACAACAGACUGCCUACGUAAGUAGGAGGAAGGUGGGGACGACGUCAAAUCAGCAUGGCUCUUACGUCCCGGGCGACACGCAUGCUACAAUGGCCGGUACAAUGGGACGCCAAACCGUAAGGUGGAGCAAAUCCCAUCAAAACCGGUCUCAGUUCGGAUUGAGGUCUGCAACUCGACCUCAUGAAGCCGGAAUCGCUAGUAAACGCGCAUCAGCCACGGCGCGUUGAAUACGUUCUCGAUCCUUGUACUCGGGUGCUUGGCAGCCCCGAAAAAAAGCGGGUGCAAAUCCCGCCGCGUUCAGCACUUGAAUGCGAAGCCAAUCUACAGAUUGCGGAUCGCGAGGUCCCAAUUGAAGGGUGGGGAGGCAUCUAUUAGCUUGAGUCUUCAUACAGGUCAUCAAUGUCGCGACCCGCCGAGUACGCGGGGAAGCGAAAGUGCAUAGAACAUUGGUGAUGAUCGGAAGACCGAGAUGAUACAAAAUGUUUUUCAGGGUGACCCAAGGAGAUCUUGCAUAGUGUUCGGUGGUGGUGUGUACCAUUCUAUGGUAAACUAACACCGAGAAAGAGAAGAGAGAAAUCUUAAUCGGUGCUAUGCAAGAAGUCUGCAGAACUCAUAGUACCAAGCGUGGCUUUAGGCGCAAUCCUGCGCUCAAAGCGCCGUUUGGGAAGGAGCAAAUCCAACGAGCCAAGCUUAAUCCUUGGUACGUAAUUGGAUUCAUUGAUGGCGAGGGAUCAUUUUCGGUCAGCAUUGGCCGACACCAGACCCUGCGAAGUGGAAUUGAAAUUCAUCCGCAGUUUGAAAUAGAACUUCGAGAUGAUGAUCGAGAAAUUCUCGAGCGUAUUGUCGUCACGAUUGGUUGCGGGAAAAUCUACGAUUGCUCGUAUGAGCGAUAUGGAUGGUAUCCGCAUGCCAAAUUCAAGAUAGGCAGUACGCGAGAUAUGGUGGAAUAUUUAUUUCCCUUUCUUGAUCGCUACCCACUUCAAGCCAAAAAGGCAAAGGCAUACCGCCUUUUCCGUGAGAUUGUUCUCAUGAUGCGCCGCAAGGCGCAUUUAACGGAGGAUGGUCUCAAAAAAAUCCAGUUAUUGCGAAACGAAAUACGUAAGCUUGGAAAGAAACACAAUCAGUUGGAAACCGCCAGGAUACGGGAAAACCGUUCGUCCGGUGGUGUCUGGCAAUAAUAUAUUUAUUGACCGGGAAACCGCCCGUCACACCACGAAAGCCGGUAAUGCCUGAAAUCUCGCUUGCGGGAUGAAGGUAGGAUCGGUGAUCAGGGUGAAGUCGUAACAAGGCAGGGGUAGCGGAAGCUGUUCCUGGAUCACCUCCUUUCUA